rfam:Thermoplasmatales archaeon A-plasma AMDT1_APLC00058, whole genome shotgun sequence.
GGGCGCGUGGCCCAGUCUGGAUAUGGCAGCAGCCUCCUAAGCUGCAGAUCAGGGGUCCGAAUCCCCUCGCGCCCG